GAUGAACGCUGGCGGCGUGCCUAAUACAUGCAAGUCGAGCGAACGGACGAGAAGCUUGCUUCUCUGAUGUUAGCGGCGGACGGGUGAGUAACACGUGGAUAACCUACCUAUAAGACUGGGAUAACUUCGGGAAACCGGAGCUAAUACCGGAUAAUAUUUUGAACCGCAUGGUUCAAAAGUGAAAGACGGUCUUGCUGUCACUUAUAGAUGGAUCCGCGCUGCAUUAGCUAGUUGGUAAGGUAACGGCUUACCAAGGCGACGAUGCAUAGCCGACCUGAGAGGGUGAUCGGCCACACUGGAACUGAGACACGGUCCAGACUCCUACGGGAGGCAGCAGUAGGGAAUCUUCGGCAAUGGGCGAAAGCCUGACGGAGCAACGCCGCGUGAGUGAUGAAGGUCUUCGGAUCGUAAAACUCUGUUAUUAGGGAAGAACAGAUGUGUAAGUAAAUGUGCACAUCUUGACGGUACCUAAUCAGAAAGCCACGGCUAACUACGUG
rnacentral:rRNA from 1 species